UGCAAGUCGAACGGCAGCACAGUAAGAGCUUGCUCUUAUGGGUGGCGAGUGGCGGACGGGUGAGGAAUACAUCGGAAUCUACCUUUUGGUGGGGGAUAACGUAGGGAAACUUACGCUAAUACCGCAUACGCCCUUCGGGGGAAAGCCGGGGACCUUUUAGGCCUGGCGCUGAUAGAUGAGCCGAUGUCGGAUUAGCUAGUUGGUGAGGUAAUGGCUCACCAAGGCGACGAUCCGUAGCUGGUCUGAGAGGAUGAUCAGCCACACUGGAACUGAGACACGGUCCAGACUCCUACGGGAGGCAGCAGUGGGGAAUAUUGGACAAUGGGCGCAAGCCUGAUCCAGCCAUACCGCGUGGGUGAAGAAGGCCUUCGGGUUGUAAAGCCCUUUUGUUGGGAAAGAAAAGCGAUCGGUUAAUACCCGGUUGUUCUGACGGUACCCAAAGAAUAAGCACCGGCUAACUUCGUGCCAGCAGCCGCGGUAAUACGAAGGGUGCAAGCGUUACUCGGAAUUACUGGGCGUAAAGCGUGCGUAGGUGGUGGUUUAAGUCCGUUGUGAAAGCCCUGGGCUCAACCUGGGAAUUGCAGUGGAUACUGGGUCACUAGAGUGUGG
rnacentral:rRNA from 1 species